rnacentral:rRNA from 1 species
UGAAUACGAGAUGCUACGGCGUCGAAGCAGUCUAUGUCAUACUUCCAAGAAAAGCUUGCACUGUCAUAAACAAAUAAUGCCUGUACCAUAACCGACACAGGUGGGUAGGUAGAGUAUACUAAGGGGCGCGAGAUAACUCUCUCUAAGGAACUCGGCAAAAUGACUCCGUAACUUCGGGAGAAGGAGUGCCUUAUUUAUAAGGUUGCAAUAACAAGACCCAAGCAACUGUUUAUCAAAAACACAGGUCUCCGCUAAGUCGUAAGACGAUGUAUGGGGGCCGACGCCUGCCCAGUGCCAGAAGGUUAAAGAAGUUGGUUAGCAUUAGCGAAGCUGAUGACUGAAGCCCUGGUGAACGGCGGCCGUAACAAUAACGGUCCUAAGGUAGCGAAAUUCCUUGUCGGGUAAGUUCCGACCCGCACGAAAGGCGUAAUGAUUUGGGUACUGUCUCAGAGAGGGACUCGGUGAAAUAGACUUGUCUGUGAAGAUGCGGACUACCUGCACCUGGACAGAAAGACCCUAUGAAGCUUUACUGUAACCUGAAAUUGAAAUUGGACUUUAUUUGCGCAGUAUAGGUGGGAGGCUUUGAAGAUAUUCUUGCGGGAAUGUUGGAGCCAUCAGUGAGAUACCACUCUUGUAAUGUUAGAUUUCUAACUUUGUAUCAUUAUCUGGUCAAAGAACAGUUUCAGGCGGGCAGUUUGACUGGGGCGGUCGCCUCCUAAACGGUAACGGAGGCGCACAAAGGUUUCCUCUGAACGGGUAGAAAUCGUAUCUAGAGUGUAAAGGCAUAAGGAAGCUUGACUGUGAGACCUACAAGUCGAGCAGGGACGAAAGUCGGUCUUAGUGAUCUGACGGUGCUGAGUGGAAAGGCCGUCACUCAACGGAUAAAAGUUACUCUAGGAUAACAGGCUGAUCUCCCCCAAGAGUUCACAUCGACGGGGAGGUUUGGCACCUCGAUGUCGGCUCAUCGCAUCCUGGGGCGGUAGUACGUCCCAAGGGUUGGGCUGUUCGCCCAUGAAAGCGGUACGCGAGCUGGGUUCAGAACGUCGUGAGACAGUUCGGUCCAUAUCCGGUGUAGGCGUUAGAAUAUUGAGAGGAGCCUUCUCUAGUACGAGAGGACCGAGAAGGACACACCUCUGGUGUACCAGUUAUCGUGCCAACGGUAAACGCUGGGUAGCUAUGUGUGGAGCGGAUAACCGCUGAAAGCAUCUAAGUGGGAAGCCCACCUCAAGAUAAGUAUUCCC